rnacentral:misc_RNA from 1 species
AGUAAAUGCAAUCCAAGCUAAGGCAGAUAGACUAUCAGCUGCAGCUUUCAAAUGGUUGAAGAAAUCUGAUCUCCUUCCCUCUGUAAGUGCAUUUGCUUUCAUAAUAACUUCGUUCAAUGGCUUCAAAAACUCAGCUAAGCCUGCCAAGUCAGGUUUCUGAGUUUGCUUGACCUUAAUGAGAAGCUCCUUCUGAACAGAAAAGGCCUCUUUCAAAAUCUUAGUUGCGUCAAGAACCUGCCCCCCAAUCUUCUCCGCGGCGCUUGAAACCCUUGCAAAGUAUUGCCCCAUCAGAUCGUCAAAAGCAAGAAUCGAGGGGUCAGUCACCGCAUCCUCGCCACUCUCCGGUGAAACACGGGGCCGGGAUCCAGUAGACAAGGCUUCAAGCCGAGCCACAGCCGACUCCAAACGCUGAAUCAGCUUCUCAUCCAUAGUUGGUUGGAACCCAGAAGUGUUUCUGUCUUUCCCAGAGUGGGAAAGGAGAAAAGCUCAGAUCUGAGAGACAAACAGAGGUGGGUUUCAGUGAUUGGAAUGAGUAAAAGUGGUGGUGAUGGCAAAUGGGUUU